rnacentral:rRNA from 1 species
UACGUAGGGGGCUAGCGUUGUCCGGAAUCAUUGGGCGUAAAGAGCGUGUAGGCGGCUCGGUAAGUCCGCUGUGAAAGUCCAGGGCUCAACCCUGGAAUGCCAGUGGAAACUGUCGAGCUAGAGUCCGGAAGAGGCGAGUGGAAUUCCUGGUGUAGCGGUGAAAUGCGCAGAUAUCAGGAAGAACACCAAUGCGAAGGCAGCUCUCUGGGACGGUACUGACGCUGAGGAGCGAAAGCGUGGGGAGCGAACAGG